UACGUAGGGAGCAAGCGUUGUCCGGAACCAUUGGGCGUAAAGCGCGCGUAGGUGGCCUCAUAAGUCCGCUGUGAAAGUCAAAGGCUCAACCUUUGAAAGCCGGUGGAUACUGUGAGGCUAGAGUACGGAAGAGGCGAGUGGAAUUCCUGGUGUAGCGGUGGAAUGCGCAGAUAUCAGGAGGAACACCAAUAGCGAAGGCAGCUCGCUGGGACGUUACUGACACUGAGGCGCGAAAGCGUGGGGAGCGAACAGG
rnacentral:rRNA from 1 species